CAGCAGCCGCGGGAAUACGAAGGGGGCUAGCGUUGUUCGGAAUUACUGGGCGUAAAGGGUGCGUAGGCGGUUUGGCAAGUCUUGUGUGAAAUCUUCGGGCUCAACCCGAAGCCUGCACGAAAAACUACCGGGCUUGAGUAUUGGAGAGGUGAGUGGAAUUUCCGGUGUAGCGGUGAAAUGCGUAGAUAUCGGAAGGAACACCUGUGGCGAAAGCGGCUCACUGGACCAUUUCUGACGCUGAUGCACGAAAGCGUGGGGAGCAAACAGGAUUAGAGACCCCUGUAGUCCCUGUCUCUUAUAU
rnacentral:rRNA from 1 species